AUUGAACGCUGGCGGAAUGCUUUACACAUGCAAGUCGAACGGCAGCACGGGGGCAGCCCUGGUGGCGAGUGGCGAACGGGUGAGUAAUACAUCGGAACGUGCCCGGUCGUGGGGGAUAACGUAGCGAAAGUUACGCUACUACCGCAUACGAUCUGAGGAUGAAAGCGGGGGACCUUCGGGACUCGCGCGAUCGGGGCGGCCGAUGUCAGAUUAGGUAGUUGGUGGGGUAAAGGCCUACCAAGCCGACGAUCUGUAGCUGGUCUGAGAGGACGACCAGCCACACUGGGACUGAGACACGGCCCAGACUCCUACGGGAGGCAGCAGUGGGGAAUUUUGGACAAUGGGCGCAAGCCUGAUCCAGCCAGUCCGCGUGCAGGACGAAGGCCUUCGGGUUGUAAACUGCUUUUGUGCGGAACGAAAAGGCUCUGGCUAAUACCUGGGGCUCAUGACGGUACCGGAAGAAUAAGCACCGGCUAACUACGUG
rnacentral:rRNA from 1 species